rnacentral:lncRNA from 1 species
UCGAAAUCGCGCAAAGGAACCGAGAAGCUCGAGGUGGCUUGAUCUAAGGGAUAAGAACGUGGUGGCAACUGUCUAACCAGCUUAGUGUCAAGAGAAGCUCGAGGUGUCGCCGUGCAUGGAAGCUGCACAUGCAGCUUGACAUGUAGAAGCACGAGGUGGAUCGGCCAAACACGAGAUGUCGCAACGCAUGCAACCGAAGCAUGCUGAUCGACAUGUGUGAAGAUGUGUGGCGCCUUGCAUGAGCUCCAGUCAUGCAGCCUGACAUCUGGGAGGAGUGGUGGCGUCCUGCAUGUGUCCUGGACAUGCAGCCAGCCAUGUGGAGCACGAGGUGCCGCCGCACAUGCGU